rnacentral:rRNA from 1 species
GACGAACGCUGGCGGCGCGCCUAACACAUGCAAGUCGAACGAGAGAUGAGGAGCUUGCUCUUCAAAUCGAGUGGCGAACGGGUGAGUAACGCGUGAGGAACCUGCCUCAAAGAGGGGGACAACAGUUGGAAACGACUGCUAAUACCGCAUAAGCCCACGGCUCGGCAUCGAGCAGAGGGAAAAGGAGUGAUCCGCUUUGAGAUGGCCUCGCGUCCGAUUAGCUAGUUGGUGAGGUAACGGCCCACCAAGGCGACGAUCGGUAGCCGGACUGAGAGGUUGAACGGCCACAUUGGGACUGAGACACGGCCCAGACUCCUACGGGAGGCAGCAGUGGGGAAUAUUGCACAAUGGGGGAAACCCUGAUGCAGCGACGCCGCGUGGAGGAAGAAGGUCUUCGGAUUGUAAACUCCUGUUGUUGAGGAAGAUAAUGACGGUACUCAACAA